rnacentral:rRNA from 1 species
UACGUAGGGGGCAAGCGUUGUCCGGAAUCAUUGGGCGUAAAGAGCGUGUAGGCGGCUUGGUAAGUCCGCUGUGAAAGUCCAGGGCUCAACCCUGGAAUGCCGGUGGAAACUGUCAAGCUUGAGUCCGGAAGAGGCGAGUGGAAUUCCUGGUGUAGCGGUGAAAUGCGCAGAUAUCAGGAGGAACACCGGUGGCGAAGGCGGUUCUCUGGGCCUGUACUGACGCUGAGGAGCGAAAGCGUGGGGAGCGAACAGG